rnacentral:rRNA from 1 species
GACGAACGCUGGCGGCGUGCCUAAUACAUGCAAGUAGAACGCUGAAGAGAGGAGCUUGCUCUUCUUGGAUGAGUUGCGAACGGGUGAGUAACGCGUAGGUAACCUGCCUUGUAGCGGGGGAUAACUAUUGGAAACGAUAGCUAAUACCGCAUAACAAUGGAUGACCCAUGUCAUUUAUUUGAAAGGGGCAAAUGCUCCACUACAAGAUGGACCUGCGUUGUAUUAGCUAGUAGGUGAGGUAACGGCUCACCUAGGCGACGAUACAUAGCCGACCUGAGAGGGUGAUCGGCCACACUGGGACUGAGACACGGCCCAGACCCCUACGGGAGGCAGCAGUAGGGAAUCUUCGGCAAUGGGGGCAACCCUGACCGAGCAACGCCGCGUGAGUGAAGAAGGUUUUAGGAUAGUAAAGCUCUGUUGUAAGUCAAGAACGAGUGUGAGAGUGGAAAGUUCACACUGUGACGGUAGCUUACCAGAAAGGGACGGAUAACUACGUG